GAGCGAAAAAUACGGUAUUUUUAAAAGAAUUUACUUGCAAAGGAAAUGUAUGUCUUAGGUUGUAGCAAGUUCUUUUAAAUUCUCCUGGUUCUAAGGAAGGUUCCAUGAUAAUGAUUCUGUGUUCAUGCAGAUGUCACCAGGAUUCCAAGCUACAUGGGCACCUGAGUGUAUGGUUAUCUUAUGUGAAGUAGUAGGAACAUGACUUGAUACAGUUUUUGGUUAUACCCCUUGGGUUGAGGGAUCCCACUUCACAUAAACUAAUAACUUUACAGUUAAGUACUUACACAGUUACAGUCUUGGUACUAUGAGUGCCAGUACAAUUAUAAAUUAUAGCUGCUGUAAUUCAUCCAAAGGCAUUUCACUACUAUUAAAUAUCACUGUGCUGAUCAUAUUUCAAAACUAUGUUUUCUAAAUUUGGGGGAGGGGAGCUGUUGAUACAGAAGUGCAUUUGUUUUUGUAAAUAACCCUACAUAGUAUAAAUAAGCAGUUCAUGUUUAUCACCACAGUGAGCUCAACUAUUGAAGUAUUUUGUUAGUUCAGAUACCGCAAGGGGCCCUUAACCUUAUUCUGAUCAUAUGAACACAAAUUAUGUAGUCCUGCGGACACCAGUGGUACCAGAAAAUGAGAGAGCUAAUUUCAAACCUGGCAGAUUGAGAGCAAUGUGUGUGCCAGGACAAUGAUUGCGGAGAGACAAUACUAGCAACAGUUCCAGAAAUACUUAAGCAGUGGCUUAUAAAGGUCUACUUAACAGCUACUUAUAAAGUCUUCCAGUAUACAUAAACAGUUGAUGUGAGUGCUGCAACUGUAGCAAACCUGUCCUGUGAUGUACUCCUGAAAAGAUUGCCCUUCCAUACGCAACAUCCUCUUGAAAGACAAAAUAGGCUGGGAUCAUCACAAAGAAACUUUGGUCUCUGAUUCACAAUGUAUUUCAUACAGAGGUGAAGAAAGGAGCAGUUUCUUAGAUGUCAAGAGACAAGCAGAUUCAUGGUGGAGGAAAACAUCUUCAUUUUUGUUCUUUUUGUUCCCCUCUUUUCAGCCCCCUCUCCUUUCCUUUUUUGUAUUGUGGAUUCUUGAAUGCAGUUUCUUCUCUUUUCCAGAAUAGGUAGUGCAGUCACCAAAACUGUUUGAUAUCCCCUAUAAAAUUAGUAAGAUAUAUUGGUUGUGGGAGAGGGGAAUAGUUGUAUUAUUAAUUUCUUUCUGAGAUAUGUCUUUCUCAAAAUAUGUAACAGGCAAAGAAAAGUUCCAGUUUUAUACAGAACUUGAACCUUAUGUGCAUCUUCUUCAAUGUUUCUUCCUCUUCUCCUUGGCAACGGUGCAUAAUAGAGACAGUAUUUAACAAUAAAAAUGUUUCGCUGUGAAUCUUGAGAAAUGGAUUCAA